AGGUAAUAUCAAUAAGAGAAACCUAUGCCCCUUGGCGGCCUUUCAUCUUAUCAGAGGAACUUGUUACCAUCGACACUACCCGCUAUAUUUAACUUUUUUAACUGUUUUUAUACCGCCGUCUAAAGGUUUCCCUAAAACAUCAACCCAUAAAAAUAUCUUAAUACGUCAGGUCAAGGUGAAGCCUAUAAAAAAGUUCAUAAUGAGUUACAUAUUAAAAGAAUUAAAGGAAUCGUACCCAAAGUUACGAAAAAAAAGGAUUUGACAGUAAAGUUUAAGAAAUUCACUAAACUUGAAAAAGCAAAAAAGGUGU
rnacentral:rRNA from 1 species